ACACGAAGCCAAAACCUAACCCUAAUCCUUCAAAUUUUGGUGGAUAGAUAUCAGAGAGGGAAAACCAAGAAGCAAAUCAAUUUGGUUGAUAAUUGGUGGAGAAAUGUCAGAGAGGGAAAACCAAGAAGCAAAUCAAUUUGGGGAGAGAUGGUUUGACUCACAAUAUGCUGAAUGAUAUUCAUAACCAUUGGAAACAUGAAGAAACAGUGAGGAUAAAAUGUCAAGGUGUUCCAACUGUUGACAUGAGAAAUGUUU